rnacentral:rRNA from 1 species
UACAGAGGUCUCAAGCGUUGUUCGGAUUCAUUGGGCGUAAAGGGUGCGUAGGCGGCGUGGUAAGUCGGAUGUGAAAUCUCCGGGCUUAACUCGGAAAGGUCAACUGAUACUGCUCGACUAGAGUGCGGAAGGGGCAACUGGAAUUCUUGGUGUAGCGGUGAAAUGCGUAGAUAUCAAGAGGAACACCUGCGGCGAAGGCGGGUUGCUGGGCCGACACUGACGCUGAAGCGCGAAAGCUAGGGGAGCGAACGGG